UCGGGUGUAGUGUACGGAGCACCGCUGCCUCUUUUAGGAGGGCCCCUUCAUCCCAGCAGCAAGCCGGGGUUCGACUCCCCGCGGCCGAA